GUGAUUUUGAGUGAGUCCAGUAACUUUUAUGGAUCCUUUCAUCUCACUAAUAAAAACAAAGGAUUUAUAUGCUUGAAUACCUGUAAAAUAGGUAGAUAUCGUAGUAUCCAAGUCUUAGUUGUGUUAUUCUCCUCUGAAGUACUUCAUUUCUUACUUCCGUUAUACAUAUUCAUUAUUUUGACACCAUGAGUCCUUGUUCAAAAGUGACUCUCACCUCGUGGAAACACACUCUAUUACCUAUACAAGGUAGACCAGCCAAAUCUAAAAGAGGAGGACUGACAUCAGCAGUAAAUAUAGUGACAAAUCAAUCUUCAAGGAUGGAAUCUGUGAAUAUUGAAAGCAAAAUCAUUCUGUCUAUCAGAAUCUGA
rnacentral:lncRNA from 1 species